GAUCUAAAGGAUGGCAGCAUCGAGUGGGCUUCAUGAAUCCCAUGGUUACCGACGAGGAAAAUAUACGAACAAGAUAUCAGGAAACGUGUGUUAAAAUGUUCAAUGCCCUAGAUAAGCAACACUACAAAUCCUAUAUACUCCUACCCUACAACUUCGACUUUCAUUGGAUUUUGCUCGUAAUUUCUGUGGAGUGUAGCAAACUUAUAGUGUUCAACUUGAAGAGGAGACCAUAGUCGGACAUCCAACACAUCAUAGACCCAUUGAACAGGUGUCAAAAAAAUUUGUGAAAAAGUAAAGAGGCCAAGGUGAAUGUAAGGAUCAACUGAAUGUUAGAAUGAACUUUUCGUGUUCGAGACAAGAAAAAGGAAAUAAUUGGUGUGGGUACUAUGUAUGUGAUUUCAUGCACACCCUAACCCAUUUCAAGAAGUGUACAGUGGAGGACCUAAGAAUGAUGCAAAUAAAGGAUGAAGUUCUACAUGUGGAUAGGAUUGAUGCCGUGUCGGAGCAGCUCAUCAUUAUAAGGGAGAUCCUGGAUCCUAAAGGCGAGUUCUACCACGACGGCCGUAUUAAUAGAGUAGCAUCUG